rnacentral:lncRNA from 1 species
ACACUCGGCUCCGCAGCCGGGCCCCGAGCGAGCUCCGCGAGUCCUGGCGAGAGCCGAGGGCUCCCCGGGUUCAAAGGGCCGCAGCCCCGAGGGAACGCCCUCCUUGCUGUGCCCCGGGGGGCAGAAGCGGACUGCUGGGCGGUGGGACCGGCCUGGGCCACGGAACAGAUGUGGACUUGGGCUGUCCACCCCCACCCACUCUUGCUGAGGUGUCUCACUACUGCCCAGACAUGUGAAUUCAUGUGAGAGCUGGUAUGAGUUGUGGUCACAGGACAAAGGAGGCUAACCGGGCAUGAUUCUCAACUUUGGCUUCAAUCAUGCCAUUUUCUACCAACUAAGCCUCUAGAGUCAAACUUGAAGAACUAUCACGUGGAACUCUUGAAGAAU